UAGAGAGAGACAUGCGCGCAUAUCAAUAAGCGGAGGAAAAGAAACUAACAAGGAUUCCCUUAGUAACGGCGAGUGAAGCGGGAAGAGCUCAAAUUUGAAAUCUUCAAGGUUUUACCUUGACGAAUUGUAGUUUAAAGAAGUGUUUUCUGCGGAAGUUUUGGUAAAAGUUCUUUGGAAUAGGACAUCAUAGAGGGUGAGAAUCCCGUAUUUGACCAUUAUUUUCAGCUUUGUGAUACACUUUCAAAGAGUCGGAUUGUUUGGGAAUGCAGUCCAAAAUGGGUGGUAAAUUUCAUCUAAAGCUAAAUAUUGGCGAGAGACCGAUAGCGAACAAGUACCGUGAGGGAAAGAUGAAAAGAACUUUGAAAAGAGAGUUAAACAGUACGUGAAAUUGUCAAAAGGGAAGCGUUUGACACCAGUGUUGUUUUCUCGAAAAUCAAUUAAAAAUGGCUCGAUUUUGUAUUGUUGAGACCUUAAAAGCUCACUGUACAUUUUUCGUGUCUUUUUUAAUGCACUUUUCGUUUAACAAGUCAACAUCAGUUUCUUUUGUUGUAAAAGGGUCAUUGGAAGGUGGCUUUCUUUUCGGAGAAAGUGUUUAUAGCCUUUGGCCUCUGCAAUCGAAGAGACUGAGGUCUGCAGCGUAGAUCCUUCGGGGUUAGAUACAUUUGUGCUAAGUUAUAGCCUUUUCAUAGACAACUUGUUGACUAUAAUCAGUCAUGUAGCUUACUCGCUUAUGCUAUUUUACCUACGCUUAGGAUGUUGAAGAUGUAGCACAUCAU
rnacentral:rRNA from 1 species